GCUUUGAAUGGCUCUGUGGGCUGCAGCAGCCCACCAUGCAGUAAUUGCUCUGAGCUCUGUUUUCCUCUGCCAGCUGGUGUGAGGUCCCCUUCCCAGUCUCUGUUACAGGUUUCAUCUAAAAGUCUAUCUCUACAAGGGGCCUGCUGCCACAGAGCCAUCUGAGACAGUGCCAUCUCCUGGGACCUACAGACAACAACAGCUGCUUUCCUCCAAAAAUCUCAUCUGACUGAGGGCUCCUGAGACAAGCGCUGAACCAAAGAAGACAGACUUGGGACCUUCCAGCAACAGAUGGACUCUUUUUGCCAACGCAACUGACUGCUGAGCUUUGGGGAAAGUACCAUGACAUGUGGUACUGCUGGGCACAGCUCCAUCCUCUGCAGCCCCAGCUACUGCUCCCAUCCUGGCUCCACACACUGUGUCCCUCUGCCAUUUGCCUCCGUGCCUUCCUACAGUAUCUGUGUCCUCUGCCUGGAGUACCGCACCCUGUCUUCACCAAUGGGGUCUCCCUGGGUAUAGCUGGGUACUCUGGAACUCACUCUAUAGAAGAGGCACGCUUUGAACUCAUGGAGAUCCACCUGCGUCUACAUCCAUAGUGCAACGUGUUAAAGCACUGUCUUCAGCGUUCCUGGCUCAGAGCUACAAGAGUCACUGAGAAGGACCGGCCUGAGGACGAGGUCUCCCAGGGUCCUCCUGGUUAACACCAGAGCCUACCUCCUUUCCUAUGUCUGCCUUCUUCCCCUCUCCAGGGACUCCUCUGCUAUAUCUAGAUCUCCCAAUGCACUCCUCCCUCCUGUGAAAGGAAAGAUUCAGGCCCAAACCUUCACUUUCACUUCUCCCCCCCGGAAACCCAUUUCUUCUGUUCACACUACCAUUUCUAGGGCUACCGUUUUUUGGGUUUUUUUGUUUUGUUUGUUUGUUUGUUUUGCUGUGUGCAUGUCCAUGUGCAUUCGCACACAUACUCACAUGCAUACACAUACAUGCGUGCACACUCCAAUCAGGUCAUAGACAUGUGAACUCACAUGUGCACACCCAGAGUCACAAGUGCACACAUACACACAUGCAGACACACUUACAUAAAUCACAUAUGCACAUACACAGACAUGAGUGCUCACUCACACAGUACUAGAGACUAAACCAUGCAUUGACAAAUCUUUGAAGAUGUGAAUUUCAUGUUUCUUUUUUAACUUUUAUGUUCUGUUAUUGACCAAAUUCCCAAGCAGCAGACCAGACAGUAGUGUAUUUACUAAACAUCCCUCACUGACCGUCUAGACAGAUUUUGGCAAUAUUUUGCUUAGCGACAGUGUCGUUCCAUUUAAAAAGCUUUACAAAUCAAAUGGCUGUGAAUUUGACCUGGCGACCCAUUAGUCGUCUCUGAAAGGUUGCAUCUAAUUUUAGCUUUGUUUUACAGCAUUAAAAUCUUGUUUACCAACAUUCUCUUCACAAUGUCAUUGAACACAAUUCAAGAUUAUCAUGGAAACUUGUCACUUCCCAUUUCUGAGGUACAACUGGGGGGGGGGGUAUUAGUAGUCCAAAGGAGUAAUGGCUUCAGAAGGAACAAUUACUGUUCCAGAAACAUAGAAUUAACCAACCCAGGCAAUGGUUAUUAGUAAGUACUGAGUUUAAUGUGCUAAGGUAUAAUAAAU
rnacentral:lncRNA from 1 species